rnacentral:rRNA from 1 species
CCUACGGGCGGCAGCAGUGGGGAAUAUUGGGCAAUGGGCGCAAGCCUGACCCAGCAAUGCCGCGUGAAGGAAGAAGGCUUUCGGGUUGUAAACUUCUUUGACAGGGGAAGAGCAGAAGACGGUACCCUGAAAACAAGCCACGGCUAACUACGUGCCAGCAGCCGCGGUAAUACGUAGGUGGCAAGCGUUGUACGGAUUUACUGGGUGUAAAGGGCGUGUAGCCGGGAAGGCAAGUCAGAUGUGAAAUCUGGAGGCUCAACCUCCAAAUUGCAUUUGAAACUGUUUUUCUUGAGUACUGGAGAGGCAGACGGAAUUCCUGGUGUAGCGGUGAAAGGCGUAGAUAUAAGGAGGAACACCAGUGGCGAAGGCGGUCUGCUGGACAGCAACUGACGGUGAGGCGCGAAAGCGUGGGGAGCAAACAGGAUUAGAUACCCUUGUGUC